GGUACUAUCUGGAAAGCUAGUUGAAAGCUUUAGAGAGGUUUUUGAGCCUCUUUGAGCUGAACGUGUACUCUUGGGAGCUGGUUUGGAGGGUAUUCUAAUCAAGGCGAGAGUGCGACCGAGCUUUAGAGCACCUUUAGUGGACUUGUGAGAGCUCUUGGAGACUCAUCUUGAGAGUUGAGACCUUGUGGAGCGGACUUUGGGAUUUUCUUUGGACUGAUUGGAGCCUAGUAAUAGAGCCAUCUACAGGAGAGGCUAGGGAUCGU